rnacentral:lncRNA from 1 species
AUGCUCAGAUCCAGCGGUGUGGGAUUUCGAAUCCGUUCCCCAGCCACCAUGGAGGAGCGGAGGGGGAGAUUUCUGAAGCUAACCACCCUCCGUCAAAGGGGGAGUGAGGUGGGUGGUUUGGCUCAGAAGUUCUGGGCUAUGGCGGUAGGGCUGGGGUAUAAUGAUGAGGCACUAAAGGACCUGUGUAACGUCUGCCUGGAUGACCCUGUACCUGGGUGGGAGAUGAAGGAGCUGGAGAUCCUGGACUUUUGGGGGUUCACCGUUGGUCAGAUCACCGUUGACCCUCCAGAGUCGAGUCAGGUCCCUGUUGACCCUCCAGAGUCGAGUCAGGUCCCCGUUGACCAGGUCCCCGCUGAUUUCACAGAGUCUAGUCAGAUCACCGGUGACCCUCCAGAGCUGAGUCAGGUCCCCAUUGACCCUCCAGAGUCAGGUCAAGUCACCAUUAACACCCAUGAGUCAAGCAAAACCACAGUUAGACCUCCCGAGUCAAGUCAAGUCACUCUUGAUCUUCAUGGGCAAAGUCAAGUCACCAAUGAUCUUCAUGAGCAAAGUCAAGUCACCAAUGAUCUUCAUGAGUCAAGUCAAGCCACAGUUGAUAUUCCUGAACCCAGUCAAAUCACCACGGAUCUACCAGAGCCUCGUUACGUCUCAGCUGAACUUCCAGAGCCUCGUCACAUCUCAGCUGAACUUCCAGAGCCUCGUCACGUCUCAGCUGAACCUCCAGAGCCUUGUUACGGCUCAGCCGAACUUCCAGAGUGGUCGUCCUAUCCUCUCAUGGCCAUGGGCUUCUGUCUCGGCUGCUCGGCUGUGGUGGUCCUCUAUACCGCCCUGGUGGGCUUCUGUCUCGUCUGCUCGGCUGUGGUGGUCCUCUGCGCCAACCCUGGGGGGAGUCACUACGGAGGUGGUGGUGGUUUUGACCUAUGCCUGGCUGGAUUUAUGAUUUUGGAUUAUCCCAAAAAACACUGCUACUGGAUCUCCCUGUUUCUGUGUGCGUUUCGUGACAAUGCUUUACAAGGGGACAGAAGACAUUGCAGGCUAUGUGGCAUUUCCUGCCAAAGCACUCCAGUUCGCCGGCUGCUUCAAGUCGCCAGAAGGCUACAUCCUUUCACCAGCAUGGUAAGCCUGCACUGCCAACGACCCAGCCUCAUGUCAAGUCUGAGUUUGGGCUCUCACAGACUUGGAAAGUCAUUCAAGAUGUGUCCAGCAGAGUUCUUAAAACCAUACAAUGAGGAGCCAUGGAAAUGGUUCCUCUAGAGAACAGUGAGUCAGGCUUUUACAGCUACUACUUCCUUGUUCCCAAGAAAAACAGUGGACUCGGGCCCAUCCUCAAUCUCAAGCAUCUGAACUGCUUAUGAAACAGCCGUUCACACACUUUUACAAAAUGUGUGGACAAGGCUCUUUCCCCUCUGAGGCAGAUGGGAAUCCAUAUUAUGAAUUACCAUUAUGAACGAUUGGCUUGUGUUGGCCAGAUUAAAACAGGAACUCAUUACACACAAGUCGCUGUUACUUAGACACCUGGAGCAGCUUGGGCUAAAAAUAAAUUUUGCCAAGAGCUCACUGUUUCCCAGCCAGCGAGUCGUCUUCCUGGGGACAGUUAUAGAUUCAGGUUAGAUGCGGGCAUGCCAGAGGAUGCUCUGCCUCAUGUCAGCCGCUUCCUCUAUGAUUCCUCUGGCCUACUUCACAUGCGGCCCCUCCAAUAUUGGCUCAAAGCCCAUGUACCGUCCCACACUUGUAGCCUUACUUUCUGAUUGUGAAUCUUAUGCUCUUUAAAUUAAGUUAACUGGCACGGUAUGUUGUGAUUGAACAGAAGUGAAGCAGCUUCAAGAAGGACAAAAAGGCUGUUCGAUGACUGUUCGAAAACCUGGUUGCUUGAAUAUUAUUGCGCAAAAAGCAAUUUAAUUUAUCUUGAAUUGUAAACAAGCCAUUGUGGAGGAAAUGGAGAAGUGUAUUGAAGUGGCUUGAAUAUAAGCCUUGAAUAGUUGUUGGGUGACAAUACAAGCAAUAAUAAUUGUAUUCUCUCUUAUGGAAAUUAUGUCUUCCUCUUGCAAGAUCUUGAUGGAUUAUUAUAAGUCUGCAGUUAUGCACAUUCAAAAAGCCAGAGUGUUAGCAAGUUAUAUAAACCAUGUUUCCAUUUUUAAAAGGAAUGCAAAGAUAAUUGUACCCACUGGUUUUGCCUUGAAAUGAUAAAACAUACACAAAUAAAUACAGUCUUUUACACCUGGUGUCACUGUCAUUUGAUUACUUUUUCAUGUAUGGCAUUUUGCAUUUUCUCAGUUUUGCAGAAUAA